CUAAGGAUGGUUCUUCAGAAGCUUGCUUCUAUCGAACCGUUUUAGAAACAUCAGUGGCCAACGGUCGUCAGGAUCGUUGAGCUGCAUUGGCGGGAUUUCGCCGUCUUCGUUUCUCUUUCUUCGCGGACGAACACGCGCUGGGGCUGCAACCUUGCAGAAUCCCUGGUCCUUGACUGGAUAUGCGUUAGGGGCUUGUAGCUCAGUUGGUUAGAGCGCGCGCUUGAUAAGCGUGAGGUCGGAAGUUCAAGUCUUCCCAGGCCCACCACACUCAUCGAGUGAGCAUUCGUCUUCUGGUUACGGGGCCAUAGCUCAGCUGGGAGAGCGCGUGCUUUGCAAGCAUGAGGUCGUCGGUUCGAUCCCGUCUGGCUCCACCAGAUGGAUUGAUCACCGACUACUCAUACCGUCGUCCGCGAAACAUCACUUCGCACUUACUAGUCCGGAUGGACAGUAAGCUGCGUGAUUUCUGACAUCGUAWAGAGGAGAUCGAUCCGAGUUGGAUCGGGCAACAAGUAAUUGUUGCGCGAUACUCCAUUAUCUCCGGAUCAUUUCGGCGCUCGUGCGUCUUUUAGCGUAGCUCACAAGGCUGCAUUGAAAGACAAGCGAGUUGUAAAUGAUCCUUUUAGCGAAGCUUGACCGCCUCGCUAUCGGAACGAUCUUACGAAGCAAGCUGGUCUUUCUAAUCAUUGUCCGGCUGCAGAUAGCGUUCAUCGAGGGCGCGUGCCGCAAGGCAGUUCUGCAGACAACAUUCUGCCGAGUGUGUGGACAUUGAUAAUGAGAGC
rnacentral:tRNA from 1 species